rnacentral:sRNA from 1 species
GUUUAAGGAAGGCAAGCUAAAACCGUCACGUCGUGGGACUGCGGUUACUCGUCCCACCGAAAACAUUUGUGACGACGCUUGCAUGACCUACAUCCUGUAGG